GAUGAACGCUGGCGGCGUGCCUAAUACAUGCAAGUCGAGCGAACGGACGAGAAGCUUGCUUCUCUGAUGUUAGCGGCGGACGGGUGAGUAACACGUGGAUAACCUACCUAUAAGACUGGGAUAACUUCGGGAAACCGGAGCUAAUACCGGAUAAUAUUUUGAACCGCAUGGUUCAAAAGUGAAAGACGGCCUUGCUGUCACUUAUAGAUGGAUCCGCGCUGCAUUAGCUAGUUGGUAAGGUAACGGCUUACCAAGGCAACGAUGCAUAGCCGCCCUGAGAGGGUGAUCGGCCACACUGGAACUGAGACACGGUCCAGACUCCUACGGGAGGCAGCAGUAGGGAAUCUUCCGCAAUGGGCGAAAGCCUGACGGAGCAACGCCGCGUGAGUGAUGAAGGUCUUCGGAUCGUAAAACUCUGUUAUUAGGGAAGAACAUAUGUGUAAGUAACUGUGCACAUCUUGACGGUACCUAAUCAGAAAGCCACGGCUAACUACGUG
rnacentral:rRNA from 1 species